rnacentral:rRNA from 1 species
UAGGGAAUCUUCGGCAAUGGGGGCAACCCUGACCGAGCAACGCCGCGUGAGUGAAGAAGGUUUUCGGAUCGUAAAGCUCUGUUGUAAGUCAAGAACGAGUGUGAGAGUGGAAAGUUCACACUGUGACGGUAGCUUACCAGAAAGGGACGGCUAACUACGUGCCAGCAGCCGCGGUAAUACGUAGGUCCCGAGCGUUGUCCGGAUUUAUUGGGCGUAAAGCGAGCGCAGGCGGUUUGAUAAGUCUGAAGUUAAAGGCUGUGGCUCAACCAUAGUUCGCUUUGGAAACUGUCAAACUUGAGUGCAGAAGGGGAGAGUGGAAUUCCAUGUGUAGCGGUGAAAUGCGUAGAUAUAUGGAGGAACGCCGGUGGCGAAAGCGGCUCUCUGGUCUGUAACUGACGCUGAGGCUCGAAAGCGUGGGGAGCGAACAGGAUUAGAUACCCUGGUAGUCCACGCCGUAAACGAUGAGUGCUAGGUGUUGGAUCCUUUCCGGGAUUCAGUGCCGCAGCUAACGCAUUAAGCACUCCGCCUGGGGAGUACGACCGCAAGGUUG